AAUAUACUCCCUUCGUCCAGAAUUACUUGUCUCAUAAAUUUAUAAAAAUGGAUUGAGAUGCAUCCAUUUCUGUGACAAGUAUUUUUGAACGAAGGGAGUAGUAU
rnacentral:pre_miRNA from 1 species